rnacentral:miRNA from 1 species
AGGACUGUCCAACCUGAGAGUG